GCGGUUGCUACUUCUGUGGCCCCACAACAUGCUGUCUCUCGAGGCUGUGUUGUGGCUUGGUUGCUGCCAGGGUUCUGGACGCAGGGACGGCACCCUGACCCCCUAACGUUGCGCUGCCACCAUCAGCCAUAUACAGGUGUUCACAAUCCUCCCGAAACACUGGUUCGUGUGCGUGAGCCGAUCUGGCGGAGAGGCGCCCCAAGAGCUGGCCCAGCCCGACUUGGGCCACCCAUCCGCUAGGCCUAAGUCACCCCUUCCCAUUCCCCCUGCUCUUUAGCAUAGACCCUAAAGCCAGGAGGAAUGUGUGGUGGUUUUUGGUUUUUUGUUUUUUUGGUACCGGGGAUCGAUCUCUGGACCUUGUGCUUUCAAGGCAGCCUGCGGAACCACUGAGCCAAAUCCCUGGACCAGGAAUGUGUGUUUUAAUCCUGUUUCGGUGAGACCAUGGGCGAGUUACUUCCUCUUUUUGUAAUUCCUCCUUGUAUGUCAACGUUUUCACCUAAUUUGCCUUCAAAGUAUCAGGUGUCCUUGAAAGAAGAAACUGAGACAAUAAUGGUGCUGAUCUCUAGGUCCUCCAGAGCUGUGGGCUACAGGUGAAAGUGAGACUUUCAGAAACUGGGCAUUGCUGUCACUUCUGUUUUUCCUUUAAGAAGUUGUAUUUGAUGUUUGAUGCUGCACUUCUUGGGAAGGAAAAAGUGAAAGACCAAGAAGGGGGUGGCUUCUCCAGCAGUGGAGAGAGUAAACUGCCACACUUCACACACACAUGUGCCACCGAGCGAUCAGAGCAGUUGAAGAGGCGGUCAUGAAGCAGAAAAGAUGUACCAUGAGCCAAAAGAGCGUCCCGUUCCAUCUCCCCAAAACGGAUUCCUCCUUGGACGUUUCUUCCUCC